ACAAACUUGGUCAUUUAGAGGAAGUAAAAGUCGUAACAAGGUCUCCGUAGGUGAACCUGCGGAGGGAUCAUUACAGAGUCCCCGCCCCCCGGGCGGACCUCCCACCCACUGUCAUCCCUACCGUCGUUGCUUUGGCGGGCCGCCGGCGCGCGCCCGCCAGAGGCCCCGCAAACUCCAGGUGUCGGCGUCGUCAGAGCACUAUCUAAUCGUCAAAACUUUCAACAACGGAUCUCUUGGUUCUGGCAUCGAUGAAGAACGCAGC
rnacentral:misc_RNA from 1 species